rnacentral:misc_RNA from 1 species
CGCACAUUGCGCCCCUUGGUAUUCCAUGGGGCAUGCCUGUUCGAGCGUCAUUUGAACCCUCAAGCUCUGCUUGGUGUUGGGUGUUUGUCCCGCCUCUGCGUGUGGACUCGCCUUAAAGGAAUUGGCGGCCAUGGAAUUCGGCUUUGAGCGCAGCACAUUGCGGACUCUUUGCUGGUACAUUGGCGUCCAGAAGCCCUUUUUUUACUCUUGACCUCGGAUCAGGUAGGGAUACCCGCUGAACUUAA